rnacentral:rRNA from 1 species
AUUGAACGCUGGCGGCAUGCCUUACACAUGCAAGUCGAACGAAGUCUUCGGACUUAGUGGCGGACGGGUGAGUAACACGUGGGAACGUACCUUUUGGUUCGGAACAACUCAGGGAAACUUGAGUUAAUACCGGAUGAGCCCUUAGGGGGAAAGAUUUAUCGCCGAAAGAGCGGCCCGCGUUAGAUUAGCUAGUUGGUGAGGUAAAGGCUCACCAAGGCUACGAUCUAUAGCUGGUCUGAGAGGAUGAUCAGCCACACUGGGACUGAGACACGGCCCAGGCUCCUACGGGAGGCAGCAGUGGGGAAUCUUGCGCAAUGGGCGAAAGCCUGACACAGCCAUGCCGCGUGAAUGAUGAAGGUCUUAGGAUUGUAAAAUUCUUUUACCAGGGACGAUAAUGACGGUACCUGGAGAAAAAGCCCCGGCUAACUUCGUGCCAGCCGCCGCGGUAAGAC